rnacentral:rRNA from 1 species
UACGGAGGAUCCGAGCGUUAUCCGGAUUUUAUUGGGUUUAAAGGGUGGCGUAGGCGGCCUAUUAAGCAGGGGUGAAAGACGGUAGCUUAACUAUCGCAGUGCCUUUGAUACUGAUGGGCUUGAAUGUAGUGAGGUAGGCGGAAUGUGACAAGUAGCGGUGAAAUGCAUAGAUAUGUCACAGAACACAAUGCGAAGGCAGCUUACUACGGAUCGAUUGACACUGAGGCACGAAAGCGUGGGGAUCAAACAG